UGGGGAAUUUUCCGCAAUGGGCGAAAGCCUGACGGAGCAACGCCGCGUGGAGGUGGAAGGCCUACGGGUCGUCAACUUCUUUUCUCGGAGAAGAAACAAUGACGGUAUCUGAGGAAUAAGCAUCGGCUAACUCUGUGCCAG
rnacentral:rRNA from 1 species